GCGGCGUGCCCUCGUCGACCGUCGUAUAGGUUUGGUGGCCUACGUCAGGCCCUCGUAGCCGCCGACGAGAAGGCUGGGAGAGCGAGGCGUCGGACACGGACGGAGAUCUCGUCCAAGCGGAGCGGCAGCUAGAACCCUAGCAGUAGCAGGCGAUUAUCAUUCAUACGUGAAUUGUAUUGUGAUGCAUGAUUAAAGAUGAGAUUACACCGGCUGGUUGAGAGGAUUUAAAUCGUACAAGUCAAAUGCAUAGCAGAUUUGUACAUCUCAACAUGCUGGCUGGAAGUUCAUCGACUGGUAACAACAAAAAUUAGAACGGGGACGAGGCGGCUGUAGUACAUGCGAUUCGAGAAGGAUGCUGGAGAGGCGCACGUGUGUUUGGGUUAAUGGAGAAGAAGGCGCGGCCGUGAUGUGGAGGACAAGGGGGCACAGGAUGCGCAGAGGUGAGGAUCGGCGGUUCGGGUUUGAGGAGGAGGAGGUUGCAGAGGCAGGUUCUUGAGUCUUGACGGGCACGACGCGCGGCCAGCGUCGUGAUGACGCCGAUCAGGACGAAAGCGCCAGCGCCGACGACAUGCGCAGAUUGG
rnacentral:lncRNA from 1 species